rnacentral:rRNA from 1 species
UAAACUAGGAUUAGAUACCCUAUUAUUUUGGAAUGUAAAUGUGUUUGCUUGAGUAGUAUUAGUUAUGUUCUUGAAACUUAAAGAAUUUGGCGGUAUCUCAUUCCGUCCAGAGGAAUCUGUCUCGUUAUCGAUAGUCCACGUUGGACCUUACUUGGUUGCUUUGGUUUGUAUACCGCCGUUUAUUGAUUAUCUUUUUAGGGUUAUAAAUUUUCUUGUUUCUUUAUUUUGAUUUAUUUCAGGUCAAGGUGCAGCUUGUUUCUAAGUGAAUGAUGGAUUACAUUGUUAUUUGUUAUUGGAUUGUUGAUUUUAAUGUCGGUAUGAAAUUGGAUUUGGUUGUAAUAAUUUGUAGAUUGUUAUUUUGAUAAUAGGUUCUGGGAUAUGCACACAUCGCCCGUCGCUCUCGUUUAUUUAAUGAGAUAAGUCGUAACAUAGUA